UACGAGAACUCUUCUGCUUGCAGAAGAUAGUAAAGUGGCGCACGGGUGAGUAACGCGUGGGUAAUCUACCUCUAAAUCGGGGAUAACCCGCCGAAAGGCGAGCUAAUACCGGAUAAUAUCUUUAAAACUUAGGUUUUUAAGAUCAAAGGUGGUCUCUACAUGUAAGCUACUGUUUGGAGAUGAGCCCGCGUACCAUUAGCUUGUUGGUAGGGUAAUGGCCUACCAAGGCUGCGAUGGUUAGCUGGUCUGAGAGGAUGAUCAGCCACACUGGAACUGACACACGGUCCAGACUCCUACGGGAGGCAGCAGUGAGGAAUUUUGCGCAAUGGGGGAAACCCUGACGCAGCAACGCCGCGUGAGUGAUGAAGGCUUUCGGGUCGUAAAGCUCUGUCAAGUGGGAAGAACCUGCUCGAUGCUAAUACCAUCUAGCACUGACGGUACCACUGAAGGAAGCACCGGCUAACUCCGUGCCAGCAGCCGCGGUAAUACGGGGGGUGCAAGCGUUAUUCGGAAUUAUUGGGCGUAAAGGGCGCGUAGGCGGUCUCUAAAGUCAGAUGUGAAAGCCCGGGGCUUAACCCCGGAAGUGCAUUUGAAACUCAGGGACUUGAGUAUGGGAGAGGGAAGUGGAAUUCCUGGUGUAGCGGUGAAAUGCGUAGAUAUCAGGAGGAACACCAGUGGCGAAGGCGACUUCCUGGACCAAUACUGACGCUAAGGCGCGAAGGCGUGGGGAGCAAACAGGAUUAGAUACCCUGGUAGUCCACGCAGUAAACGGUGAACACUAGGUGUAGCGGGUAUUGACCCCUGCUGUGCCGCAGCUAACGCAUUAAGUGUUCCGCCUGGGGAGUACGAUCGCAAGAUUAAGACUCAAAGGAAUUGACGGGGGCCCGCACAAGCGGUGGA
rnacentral:rRNA from 1 species